rnacentral:rRNA from 1 species
AGUGAACGCUGGCGGUAGGCCUAACACAUGCAAGUCGAACGGCAGCACAGGAGAGCUUGCUCUCUGGGUGGCGAGUGGCGGACGGGUGAGGAAUACAUCGGAAUCUACUCUGUCGUGGGGGAUAACGUAGGGAAACUUACGCUAAUACCGCAUACGACCUACGGGUGAAAGCAGGGGAUCUUCGGACCUUGCGCGAUUGAAUGAGCCGAUGGCGGAUUAGCUAGUUGGCGGGGUAAAGGCCAACAAAGGGGACGAACCGUAGCUGGUCUGAGAGGAUGAUCAGCCACACUAGAACUGAGACACGGUCCAGACUCCUACGGGAGGCAGCAGUGGGGAAUAUUGGACAAUGGGCGCAAGCCUGAUCCAGCCAUACCGCGUGGGUGAAGAAGGCCUUCGGGUUGUAAAGCCCUUUUGUUGGGAAAGAAAUCCAGCUGGCUAAUACCCGGUUGGGAUGACGGUACCCAAAGAAUAAGCACCGGCUAACUUCGUGCCAGCAGCCGCCGCCG